GUAGUAUGCCCUAGACUCCUUAGGGUACCCUAUAAUUAAACAAUUAUCAGAUCGAAACCCAAGCUUAUCGAUAUAUAAAUAUUUUACAUAAAUUGAACUACCCCAAACCUUAAGGUAAGAGGGUAUCGGUCUAUGCCCAGUCCGUAUCUCAUUUGGAGUUUUUGUGACUGAUUUGUUUGGAAUAUUAUUCAGAACAUUGCAUGUAGUCUCAAGAGCACAAUCCCAAAA
rnacentral:lncRNA from 1 species